CCUCCAAAAAUUUCAGUUAACAAGAAUCGCCCGGUAGGGGGCCUUGAUGAUGGGUCCCUCUCCUAAGAUCGAUGGUGAAUUCGAUUUCUCAACCAGGGGUAAUUCCGGUAAUUCAUCAGGGUAAAUGUCUGAGUAUUCCCUAUUUCUUAUAGCUACCUAGCUUCUUUCUUUUUGUUGCUCAUUAUCACCUAUCAAAAUAUUUGUGUCAAGCAAUUUUUGUGACUGACCGAUGAUGCAACCAAUAAAAUCUUUUCUUUCUUUCCAAUUAUACGAAAUUUCACUAAAUGAGAUUUAACUACCCCUGCCCUUAUUAAAAUUUAAAAUUUUUUUACUCAUGGUUAACCUAUUGCUCUGAUACCACUAGAUG
rnacentral:lncRNA from 1 species